UGGGAGGCAGGCGGCAAGACGUUUCUGUGAUGAUUGAAGUUUGAAGAUUAAACUUCUCCGUAUGAUGUGAACGGAAAUGGAAAUGUAGCAUUUGAUGGAAGGCGAUAAUUUCCAGUCCGCUGCGCAGUCGUCAUUGCCCAGGGAGAAAAAGAAGAAGAAGAACCAUGGUUUUGCCUGAGAGUGGGGCUUGCGUGUGUAUAGGUAAAAAGUAUAGCAAGUUGUUGGGAUAAUGAUGUUAGAGCUUUUCUUGUUUGACUUUGCAGUUCAAGGAUGGCGUUCUUCAAUUCCACCUCAACUUUUUGUAUUCUGCUAACUACUGUGGACGAACAUUACAGGUGAGGAAGAGGGCAAGAUUUUCAAACAUCAAGAUUCUUAUCGGCAUCAGUGUUAUGCUGAAGAACUCGAGACACCGUGCGAAAUAGGUAACCGUAUAUGAUUAUGCUCUUUCUGUUUGAUGUUCAAACCUUUGGGACUGCCUGCUUGGAUUAUAAAUGGUAGCUGACCUUAGUUUUUAGGACACUGCUUGUUGUCAUUGACCACAGAAGGAGAUUCGGCUAAGAUUUUUUAGCUGUCAUUAAGACGUUCUAGCAAUUAAGGUUUCAACGAUAAGAUCAAAAAGAUUGCUUGAGCUUUAUUCGAAAUCUAGUGUGCAAAUGGCUCCGUACUUGCUUAAGUCAAUGCAUAUCUCUCAACAAGUCACCAAUAAGGUGAGAAUAAUGUGAAGUGGACUAAUCUUAAUUUGAUUUGUUUAUGAGCAUUUAGUCUUGACUUUUCUAGAGCCCCUUCCUUGACUUCACAUCAAAUGCAAGCUACACGACGAUACCUGACCGAGUACCGGGUGUAGAGUUUGUAUGGCUCUCCGAACCAAGCUAAAUAGUUUCCUAUCACUAGGCUCCCUGACAUCUUCAAGAGUUUCAGUUGAACAGGUGCACUCGCUGAAGGAAGCUUUCCAACACGAAAGAGGCCAAUUCCACUUGUUCGGAUUAGGAAAGAGUAGGUGCAAGUAGAGAAGAGAACACUUAACAUUGACCUCACCCGAUAGAUAUGCAAUAAAUGAAUAAAUAACUGAGUUUACUUUUUGUCUUAGCUUUUCAUUUUUAUACUCAAUGUCACCACUUGUUUGAAAUUCCCUGCAUUUGGUACUCUCUUCCUUCCUCCAUCAUCCAAUGAAUAUGUUUCUUUA